UGGGGAAUAUUGGGCAAUGGGCGCAAGCCUGACCCAGCAACGCCGCGUGAAGGAAGAAGGUCUUCGGAUUGUAAACUUUUGUCGCCGGGAACGAUGAUGACGGUACCCGGCAAGAAAGCCCCGGCUAACUACGUGCCAGCAGCCGCGGUAAUACGUAGGGGGCGAGCGUUGUCCGGAAUUACUGGGCGUAAAGGGCGCGUAGGCGGUUUGUUAAGUUAGAUGUGAAAUCCCCGGGCUUAACCUGGGUGUUGCAUUUAAAACUGGCAGACUUGAGUGCAGGAGAGGAAAGCGGAAUUCCUAGUGUAGCGGUGAAAUGCGUAGAUAUUAGGAGGAACACCA
rnacentral:rRNA from 1 species